rnacentral:SRP_RNA from 1 species
UGGAUCAGCACGGAUUGACGACGACGUU